GCAGAUAAGGCGGGAAGCUAAGGGUUUCCCAUCCGCAAAUCCCUUUUGGGCGGGCCAAUGCUGGCCGAGUGCUACCGGUGCGCUGCAAGCCUGCACCAAGGCGUUGAGAUUUUGCCUUAGGUGAUAGCCUGGUAUGUGAACCAGGCCAGGCCGGAAGGAGCAACCUUAAGCAUAUUUAGGCUAUGCUCUUAAGAUACAGGAUUGAGCCGAGGUGCAGCAAACUUGCCUCGUGCAGGUAAUGCAGAGCCAGCUUUCUGC
rnacentral:SRP_RNA from 1 species